UGAGUCUGACCAUGUGUCCUGAAAGUGCUGUCCGUAAAAUGAAUGUCGUCUCGUACUGGAAAGUAGAAACUUUAAUGGAAUGGUCUGAAAGCUUACAAUACAUACUUGUCAAUUCCAUGUUUUGUUGUGGAGUGCUCUACAUUUUCUUGGGAUGUUUUGUCACAUGGAGAAGUUUUUUUACUUAGAAGAGGAAAUGUGCAAGGGCCAUGCAGCUUACUGUCCACCAUUUUGUUCAUAAUCAUUGUUUUCUACUGAAUUCCAAAACUUAAACAAUCUUUUUCCCUAACUUUUGAAAGGUAGAUUAAUUCAAGCUGUUGAAUGAUGUUGUUUGCUGCUCAAUGUGAAGAUGGUGAAAGGAGUGCUUGACUCGGAAUAAGCUGCCUUUGUCUCUGUUGUUGGUGAAUCUACAUUCACUUUGCUUAUGGUCUUCACCUUCUUUGGACAUGAGUAGGGUUAACGGUUCGAUGAAAUCUGAGCUUCAUGGCAGUUCAAUGUCCACAUGGAUUUGCUGCGGAUUUGUUGCAGCCAGCUGGUGAAUGCUUAUGGAUGUACUUAGUCCGCUACUUGAGAGAUGAGUUGAAAUGGAGUUUGUGUCGACUUUCAGUUCAACCAGAGAGUUUGUCGGGUCGUGGCAUGGAGAUUCUUGGGCCAAUGUUGGCCUUUCAAAGGUCAACAUUGGGCUAUGCCGACAUUAUCUUCCCAACUCUCGUCAUCUAGAUCUAAUGCUUGUUUGUUGCUACAUAACUUGGCUUACUCCACUGAGAGUUAGACCACUUCAGUCCACUGUUACUCACCAUGGAAAAAUGCCCUGGUCUUUCAAUUUAUAUUUGGGCAUUCCAUCUGAUCAUGUUGCCUCCCGAUCAUGCGACCUGCCUUCCCUAAAUGUCGUCUCUUGCUGUACGUUGCAUGUUUCGUCAAAAGAUGAGUUAUUUUCUCGCCAUUUCUGUAAGCUGAACCGAUACUGAACAAAUUUAAAGCAAGUGAUUUCCUUUUCUCCACAGUGUGGUCGUUGCCAUGCCUUGAAGACUGUCUUUGUGAAGGUCUACUAUGUUGCAAGACAAAUGUGUUGAAAGGAGGGAAUCUGUUAAGUUUAGAGAUGCUCUUGGCUUCGGCAGACAUCCACUCGAGUUAACAAUCGGAAAAGUAUCUAUCAAUCUGUGUGUAUAGCUAUAGUACUUACCUUAUAAUCUGACCAUGUUAGCUUAUAGCCUUAUACUACAUUCCAUUUGGCUGAAAUGUUGUCCAUUGUUACCUGUGUGGGUUGAUUGUGAGAGAUUCCUUUCCUUAUCUGCUGAAGAACUUGAAGACAUGGCAAAAGCUGAACUUCAUUGCUGUCAAGCAGGUGAUUUUUUUGCAGCCAGCUGGUAAAAGCGAGUUCAAGUCAAGUUUAGCUGAAGCUUCUGGAAGUAGUCUACAUUGCUGGUGUCAUCCUGAGGAGGGGUAGUGUUACUUGCAAACAGCAACAAAGACAUCUUGAAAAGGACUUGGUGACGGUGUUAAGUGUCAAUCUGCUACGUGCAUUUUAUAUAGCUGGUGUUAUCCAGAAGUGUUGCAGGGAGACUUGGAGCAUAGAUACAAGAAAACCUCUAGAAAUGCAGUUGGUGUAAAUCUAAAGUGUUUUUGCUGUCUGGUUCCUGUUCAAGCUGUUAUGAUGUAUCUGCUGAAAUCCUUGAAGUAGCUGAUGCUGAUUUUAUCCUUUGCAGUUGGUUUUCUAGUGCAAUUUUGGUUGUCUACUAAAAUAUUUUGUCUUAUUUGUUUUCAUCUGUGUAAUGUAUAAUUCAAACUAUUUGGUAUUUUGGUUUUCAAUGUGGUAUGUUGCAGCUUAUGUUAGUGAAAGUUUUUUGUGUGGUUGUUUCCGUUGUCUUAAGCAAUGUUUCACAUAUUUAUGUCAUACUUAAAACCUAAACCUGAAAUUACUUGUUUAAUUUUGUAAACUUAAUUGCUGUUUCAUCAAAUCGUGUAUGAAACUCAUUAAACAUACGUUCAAAUUCGAAA